rnacentral:rRNA from 1 species
UACGUAGGGGGCAAGCGUUAUCCGGAUUUACUGGGUGUAAAGGGAGCGUAGACGGCAGUGCAAGUCUGAAGUGAAAGGCGGGGGCCCAACCCCCGGACUGCUUUGGAAACUGUGCUGCUGGAGUGCAGGAGAGGCAAGUGGAAUUCCUAGUGUAGCGGUGAAAUGCGUAGAUAUUAGGAGGAACACCAGUGGCGAAGGCAGCUUACCAGACUGCGACUGACGCUGAAGCACGAGAGCGUGGGUAGCGAACAGG